rnacentral:rRNA from 1 species
UACGUAGGGUGCAAGCGUUGUCCGGAAUCAUUGGGCGUAAAGAGCGUGUAGGCGGCCAGAUAAGUCCGCUGUGAAAACUCGAGGCUCAACUUCGAGCUGUCGGCGGAAACUAUCUGGCUAGAGUCCGGAAGAGGAGAGUGGAAUUCCUGGUGUAGCGGUCGAAAUGCGCAGAUAUCAGGAGGAACACCCGUGGCGAAGGCGGCUCUCUGGGACGGUACUGACGCUGAGACGCGAAGCGUGGGAGCGAACAGG